rnacentral:rRNA from 1 species
UACGUAGGGUGCAAGCGUUGUCCGGAAUUAUUGGGCGUAAAGAGCUCGUAGGCGGUUUGUCGCGUCUGCUGUGAAAACUCGGGGCUUAACCCCGGGCCUGCAGUGGGUACGGGCAGACUAGAGUGCGGUAGGGGAGACUGGAAUUCAUGGUGUAGCAGUGAAAUGCGUAGAGAUCAUGAGGAAGACCAGUGGCGAAGGCGGGUCUCUGGACAGUUCCUGACACUGAGACACGAAGGCCAGGGGAGCAAACGGG